AUACGUCAAAUCCUAGAUUCAGGUUAACGAUCAUAAAUAGAUUUAAAGUAAAAUGUUAUGUACACUAUACAGUGUUGUAUACUUCUUUAAUUUUUCUCACAAAAUCAUUAUGUAUUGAUACGAUUAGUGUCAAUAUAAUAUCUUUUUUGUUCUUUCAUUAAAUAUUAAAAUGAAGCUGACAGAAAUAUACGUAUACGUGUAUAUCCAAAGGCGAAAAUAAAAAUGGCGUAUUUCGUUCGGCGACUAUCAGCUGAUCGUAGGAUUUCAACAUUUUUUCUACGAUGUGACGUAUAAGUAAAGUGUAUUGGUUAAUAAGUAUAUCGAUAAAAUGUAAGAUGGUUCUACCAACGAGAUUAUCUUUCAAAACGAUACGUUUACCGUAUCAUUAUCAUAAUUUAUUUGUUGUGACUUUAUUUUUGUUUACAUUGAUUAUCAUAUUAAUCGCUGCAUAUCAUGUUUUUAAAUUUGGCGAUACUCCACAAAAUUCGAUUUAUAAUGCAAUUGUUUUAACUAAUAUAAAUACACUACCCACUGAGGUUUUAAGUGCAGAUUCACCAGCAGCUGACAUUACCAAUUCUUCUUGUACAUAUUUUAAUUGUUUCAACGUAUAUCGUUGUGGUAGUAGAGGCAAUAAACCUUUAGUAUACGUAUACCCUCCAAAAAUAUAUUUGGAUGGAUCACAUAAACCAAUAACUAAUCAAAUGACUAAAGAGUUUUAUCAAAUCUUAAAUGCUCUUAUAUCAAGUAAGUUUUACACUUCAAAUCCUCACGAAGCAUGUAUAUUUGUUCCCUCCAUCGAUACUCUCAAUCAGAAUAGGUUGAAAUUGCAAGAAGUAUCGCAAGCAUUGAAAACAUUACCAUUUUGGAAUGGCGGAGAAAAUCAUUUAAUAUUCAAUAUGGUACCAGGAAGCGUUCCGGAUUAUAACACAGUUCUCGAUGUAUCAGUUGGAAAAGCUAUGAUCGCUGGUGCUGGAUUAUCUACAUUAACUUAUAGAUCUGGAUUCGAUAUCAGCUUACCUGUUUACAGCUCAUUUCUAACUAAUUUCAAUAGAAAUAUUAAAAUUAAAAGAACAUGGUUACUUAUGUCGUCUCAAAUUAAUAUUAAUUCUGCUUUUGAACAAGAUUUAAUAGAACUUAAAAGUUCUUUUCCAAAAGAAAUAUUAUUACUUGGUCCAUGUUUACAAUACAGUCCUAUGAAUAACACAGUACGCUGCGCUGGAAAAGAUGUUUAUAAAUAUCCCGCUGUACUUCAAACAGCCACAUUUUGUUUCGUAAUACGUGGAGCAAGAUUAGCACAAAGUGUUUUAUUAGAAGCUAUGGCAGCUGGUUGUAUACCAGUAAUUGUGGCAGAUUCACUGGUUAUGCCAUUUUAUGGAACGAUUGAUUGGACAAGAGCAGCAAUAUUCGUUCGCGAAAUAGAUGUUCUACAAGUAAUAUCAAUAUUAAAGAGAAUAUCUCAGCAAAGAAUAAUAGAAUUGAGAGAGCAAGGUACAUGGCUUUAUAAAAGAUAUUUUCAAUCAAUGCAAAAAAUAACAGAUACAACAUUAGAAAUAUUAGCAGAUCGUGUGUUUACAAAUUUUGCAAGAGAUUAUAUAUAUUGGAAUAUACCUACUCAUAAGGAUAAAAUUUCUCCACUUUUUCUACCAUUAACUGCUCCCAAGACAAGAGGAUUCACAGCUGUUAUUUUAACGUACGACAGGCUAGAAUUAUUAUUUAUUUUAAUCAAUAAAAUUGUCAAAGUGCCAAGUUUAUCCAAAGUUUUAGUUAUUUGGAAUAAUCAACAAAAAGAUCCACCUCAUUCUUCAAGAUGGCCAAAACUAACUAAACCAUUAAAAGUUAUUCAAACGAAAGAAAAUAAAUUGUCGAACAGAUUUUAUCCAUAUGACGAAAUAGAAACCGAAGCAGUACUUUCGAUAGAUGACGAUAUUAUUAUGUUAACGACCGAUGAAGUAGAAUUUGCUUACGAAGUUUGGAGAGAAUUUCCAGACAGGAUAGUAGGAUUUCCAUCUCGUAUUCACAUGUGGGAUAAUACUACUAAUUGUUGGAAAUAUGAGAGUGAAUGGACUAAUAGUAUUUCUAUGGUUUUAACUGGUGCUGCCUUUCAUCACAAGUAUUGGAAUUAUAUGUAUACAACUGCGAUGCCGGGUGAUAUUAAAGAAUGGGUAGAUGAACAUAUGAAUUGCGAAGAUAUAGCAAUGAAUUUUUUAGUUGCUAAUACUACAGGAAAAGCUCCGAUAAAGGUGACACCGAAAAAGAAAUUUCGAUGUCCAGAGUGUACAAAUACCGAGAUGUUAUCGGCAGAUUUAACACAUAUGGUUGAACGUACACAAUGUAUAAAUAGAUUUUCAUCUAUCUAUGGAACAAUGCCGUUACAAUCUGUUGAAUUUCGUGCCGAUCCUGUACUUUUCAAAGACGUUUUCCCCGAAAAAUUGAAAAGAUUUAACGACAUUGGAAGUUUAUAAUAUUAUUUAAUUAAUUAUAUUUAACGGCCUUUUCAUGACAAAAAUGACAAUUCUCGUCGAGCAAUCGUAAUUGUUAAUUAAUCAAUUUCGAUUUUCAAAAUCGAUUCCCAUCAUAAUUCCACUGUCUUAUUAACAAGUUGACAGCUCCGACGUAGCAAUAAAAAAUGUCGUUAUAAUAUUUCGAUCAAAGAUAUUAUAUUUUAUCACGUCUAUAUUUAUUCGAUAUUAUGAACGUAAUAUAUAUCGAAGGAUUGGAAAAAUAUUUUACGUUAUUUGACAUUUCAAUGAGUUAAGUGCCAUUUUAUAUACAAA